ACCUUUCAAAUCAGGGUGCGGCGCGGCCCCCGAGGAGCGGAAACAAUCCUUGGGAGGUAUGCGGGGGCUUCGAGCCCCCCAUUUACGCACGCACGACUGCCAUCCUUACUUUACGAGCACCCUCUGUUCUCCCUCGGCGGGGCAACCUGCCGUUGGAACCGAAUAAACUCUUUUUGCAUCUAGCAUUACCUGUUCCGAAACAAACAAUCGUUA
rnacentral:misc_RNA from 1 species